rnacentral:misc_RNA from 1 species
UUAUUGGUGGUUGUUGAGAAACAUAUCCUCCCCAACAUCCCAUCCGCUGCAGGUUCAAAACCAAAUCCUAGGCUUCGCAGAAAAGGAGAAGGGCCAUUAAGCCAAGAGGUCCUUGGUGAAUGUUUACUUAGUUUUCAUUUUUUAGCAAUUCAUAGAAACUGUUCUAGCAAGAUUUUGAAUAGGUUACAAGGUUUUCCUGGGGAAAAGAAGAAGUGAAAACAGUUGCACAG